GUUUGUCUUCGGCUCCACGGGCAAGAAAUCAUGAUAAUUUAAAUUCUGAAUCAUGGAAUUGGACUUAAAAAACAAUUGAGUUUUGGAGCUUCUAGCAGUAGAAUCAACUGGGAGGACCCAAUUUCAUCCAAUUUGUAGCUUGAUUUCAUCCAGCAAGACAUACUUAAGCAUAAAGACCUAAAAGUGGUAGGUGUUGUAUUGAAAUAGCAUCACACUUAGGGUGCAAUGAGGCAUAAAGUAAUGCUGAAUGCUUUACAUUCACUAACACGACAUUAUUCCAGCAUGACACACAAUCCAAAGCUUUUGCAAUUACAGCUGUGACCCCGAAUUAGAUUUUAAAACAUGUAUAUAUGUAUAUGCAUUUUGAAAUUUUCCCUUCAUUUUGUCUGCUAAUAGUUUAGAAAUGC
rnacentral:lncRNA from 1 species